ensembl:snRNA U6 U6 spliceosomal RNA
CUUUUUGGUUUGGGCAAAAGAAUGGAGUAAACUGGUAUCAUCCUCAGGAAAGAUUAGCAGAGCCCCUGCGCAUGACAUGCAAAUUGAUGAAGCAUUCCAUAUUUUU